UACGGGGGGUGCAAGCGUUGUUCGGAAUUACUGGGCGUAAAGGGCUCGUAGGCGGCUAACUAAGUCAGACGUGAAAUCCCUCGGCUUAACCGGGGAACUGCGUCUGAUACUGGAUGGCUAGAGGUUGGGAGAGGGAUGCGGAAUUCCAGGUGUAGCGGUGAAAUGCGUAGAUAUCUGGAGGAACACCGGUGGCGAAGGCGGGAUCCUGGACCAAAUCUGACGCUGAGGAGCGAAAGCCAGGGGAGCAAACGGG
rnacentral:rRNA from 1 species